CCCAAUUUAAAAAAGAAAGAUUUCAGCCCAUAUAAUCAAUUAAAACUUGUCUUGAGCCCAAUCUAUGUAUAUAUUUUUUUAAAAAAAAUCGUCCCAGGAAGAGAGGCCCAAUCAGUAUUUUUUUUUUAAAACAACUAAGCCCAAAUAUAGAGCCUAAAGUCUCAAUUAAAGUUUGGCCCAAGUUAAAAAAAUAAAACCCUCUCUCUCUUCUCUCCCUCACGCCUCUCUUCUUUCUUUUUCUUCUCUCAUCAAACUCACGCACACACCCAGCGCAGCUCAUCUCUCUAUCUUCUCUCGUUCACGAUCUGUCGCCGCCGGCUGGCGAAGUUCCGGCUUCGCGGCGUCACCUGCUCCGCCUGCAGUCGCCCAGUUAAGCUGCCAUCCGGAGCCGCUGCUGCUUCGCCUGGAGUCGCCGCCGCUAGCGGCCGCUACUGCCUGAGAUCGGCAGGUCUGCCACUCGCUGGAGGGCGUCGCCGUCAACUGCCAGCAGCCAUCUCUCCCGGAGCCGUCGCCGACUGCCGCUGUUGCUGCUGCUGCCUGAGGUCGUUGGUCAGCAGCUCGCCGGAGGAGCGCCGCUGUCGGUCUGCAGGGCUUCGGCAGUCCGCCACCUCCUCCCUCUCGUUUCAUCACCCAAUAGGUUUGUAGAUUAAAAAAAAAAUUAAAUUCAGAAAUCUGAACUUUUGUAAAGACUCCAGUUUUGGAAUGAAAACUUUGGUUUUUUCAAUAUUCUUGUUUAAGUGAGCUAGAUCUCAUGUUGUUUGUUUUUUUUUCUACGCCAGUUCGAUGUAUAUAAGAAAUCUGUAUGCUGUAAACAAAAUCACAUGUGAUCUCAUUCUUGUUGAAUUUUUCUGAAUAAUGCUAUGUAUGAAAAGAAAGAAAGUUGGGAGUUAUACCUUCACCAAAUCUUGUCAAAAGAAAAUUAUGCGCUUUAGAAUUUGCUGAGUAAAAUUGUUGUUUUAGAGCUGAAUCAUUUGGGUGAAUUUAUAGAUGAAUUUUCUAUGAUAAUGGAAGUUAUGAUAACAAAAUUUUUGGUGUAGGGAGUUGGAGAAUUUAAAUGCAGCUUUUGAAAUUUUGUAGAUUGCUGUAGAUUUUCUUCUGCAGCCUUUGAAAACUUUGCUUUCGGCGUGAUCAUCUUUUCCUUAAAUUAUGGCUUUAACGGCUAGGUGCGGCUGCUUGUAGGGGAGUAUGCAGAAGAUUGGCUUAAUAUGAUUUUAAGAGGCAAAUAGUGUUAUGUGUACUGUGGUCAAUAGUGUAGUGUUGUGUGGAGUAAGAUAAUAAGGAUGAUGGGUGUGGAGUGAAUAGUGUCGACAUUUAUGUGAGAUAGAAUAAGGAAGUAAGUGUGGUUUGGUAUCGAGUGUUGGUUUCCUAAAUCUGUAAUGAAUCUCUGAUUCUUGCUAAUUAAAUACUCGUUAUAUUUCUAAAAAUUAAAUCCUCAAACUUGGAAUUUAAUACGUGAAAGUCGUAAUUAAUUCACGACUUAAUACUAACACAUAUAUCAUGAGAUAAUAAAAUUAUUAUCCACGCAAGCUCAAGUCAUAAUUCUAGCAAUUCGAUUUAAAUAACACGAAAGUCUCAAACGUGUAGCUAAACCAAUAAAUUUAAUUAUUGGUUUGAUUCACGACUGAAUAUUAAAUCGCAACUUUGUAUCUCUUAUACAGGCUUUUGCUGAAAUAAUAUUAUCUAAAUAUAAUCAUCCCCAUUAAUAAUUAAAUAUGCAAAAGAAUUAUUAUAACUAAUGCAACUAUUCAAUCUAAUAUGUAGUUAAAAGAGCGGGGUAUCACAACGGAGCAGAUCCGACACAUCGACGACCAGAGCUUGC
rnacentral:lncRNA from 1 species